rnacentral:rRNA from 1 species
UACGUAGGGUGCGAGCGUUGUCCGGAAUUAUUGGGCGUAAAGGGCUCGUAGGCGGUCCGUCACGUCGGGAGUGAAAACUUGGGGCUUAACCCCAAGCCUGCUUCCGAUACGGGCGGACUGGAGUUCGGCAGGGGAGACUGGAAUUCCUGGUGUAGCGGUGAAAUGCGCAGAUAUCAGGAGGAACACCGGUGGCGAAGGCGGGUCUCUGGGCCGAUACUGACGCUGAGGAGCGAAAGCGUGGGGAGCGAACAGG